UCUAAUAUGGCAGAAUAGUGCAAUGGACUUAACCCCCAUUUAUAAAGCUCAUCUUUUUUUAGAA
rnacentral:tRNA from 2 species